rnacentral:rRNA from 1 species
UACGUAGGGUGCAAGCGUUGCCCGGAUUUAUUGGGCGUAAAGAGCGUGUAGGCGGCUUGGUAGGUCCGCUGUGAAAACUCGAGGCUCAACCUCGAGAUGUCGGCGGAAACCACUUGGCUAGAGUCCGGAAGAGGAGAGUGGAAUUCCUGGUGUAGCGGUGAAAUGCGCAGAUAUCAGGAAGAACACCUAUGGCGAAGGCAGCUCUCUGGGACGGUACUGACGCUGAGACGCGAAAGCGUGGGGAGCAAACAGG